rnacentral:rRNA from 1 species
ACGAACGCUGGCGGCGUGCCUAAUACAUGCCAGUAGAACGCUGAAGGAGGAGCUUGCUUCUCUGGAUGAGUUGCGAACGGGUGAGUAACGCGUAGGUAACCUGCCUGGUAGCGGGGGAUAACUAUUGGAAACGAUAGCUAAUACCGCAUAAGAGUAGAUGUUGCAUGACAUUUGCUUAAAAGGUGCAAUUGCAUCACUACCAGAUGGACCUGCGUUGUAUUAGCUAGUUGGUGGGGUAACGGCUCACCAAGGCGACGAUACAUAGCCGACCUGAGAGGGUGAUCGGCCACACUGGGACUGAGACACGGCCCAGACUCCUACGGGAGGCAGCAGUAGGGAAUCUUCGGCAAUGGACGGAAGUCUGACCGAGCAACGCCGCGUGAAUGAAGAAGGUUUUCGGAUCGUAAAGCUCUGUUGUAAGAGAAGAACGAGUGUGAGAGUGGAAAGUUCACACUGUGACGGUAUCUUACCAGAAAGGGACGGCUAACUACGUG